GUUCGGUAAACAGGAAGUUGUCGAGUGAUGAAUCUGAAAACGCAUCACACGGUAUAGCUGACUUAUAUAAAUCCUGAAACCAAAUUUCAGAAAUCCUUGUAUUGUAGUUCCUGAGAAAAAUAUGACGAAAAUUUUCAACUUGGCUAUCAUGUGUAAAAUCAGACAAGUGUUCGGUAAACAGGAAGUUGUCAAGUGAGGAAUCUGAAAACGCAUCACACGGUAUGGCUGACAUAUAUAAAUGUUGAUACCAAAUUACAGAAAGGGUGGAUGUGUAGUUCCUGAGAAAAAUGUGACGAAAGUUUCAUGGGACGGACUGACUGACGGACUGAUGGACGGACUGACGGACGGACUGACGGACUGACAGACAGAGGUAAAACAGUAUACCCCCUUUUUUUAAA
rnacentral:lncRNA from 1 species